CACCAGAUCGUGCACGUCCAGGAGGACUUGGAGACCGACUCGGAGGCGCUCUUGAGCGCCGUCAUGAACCCUAAGACGACCAACAUACCCCAGACCAUGCCCAUGAGGCUCUGGAAGCUGCCUGACUCCUUCAAGCCACAGGAGCCCAAUUCCCACUCCGGACAGGCCAGUACUGACAAAGGCACUGCAGGAGCCCUGACUUCACAGCAUGUUCCAGCUCUCUGUAGCUUCUCUGCAGUUAGGAGCUGUUUCUCCUGGGACUGCCACUAGAGUAGUCUGGCCCAGCUGCUACACCCACAGCUCAACAUCUUCAACAGUCCUCUUUGGAGAUACCUGAUGAUGUACCUCUGCCAGCAAGCUGGGAGAUGGGGAAGACAUCUUCUGGCAAGCGAAACUUCUUAAAUCACAUCAAUCAGACAACAUGGCAGGACCCCAGGAAGGCCAUGCCCUCUCAGAUGAACAUUACAGCCCCCACCAGUCCACCAGUGCAGCAGAGUAUGAACUUGGCCUCAGGUCCUCUUCCUGCUGUAGGGGAACAAGCCAUGACUCAAGAUGAAGAAAUUACUAUCUAAACCAUGAAAACAAGACCAUCUCUUGGCAAGACCCAAGG
rnacentral:lncRNA from 1 species